CACAUUCUGGGGCGCUUCGGCGCUCCUUAUACACCCACCCUCGGCCUACGUGUACCUCUAUAGCUUCCUCGGCGGGCUCGCCCGCCGCCAGGAACCCACGAAACCCCUUGCAUUAUACGCGAAAACUUCUGAUAACAAACCUAAAUUAUCA
rnacentral:misc_RNA from 1 species